UUUUGCAAAAGAGGUGACAACACACAAAAAGAGCCAGGACAGAGAAACUUUGCCUUUCUCCAGCAUCUUUCAUCAGCAUUCAAGGUGUUGGUGCAUCCUGCCCUGCUAGGCAGGAAGGACUGUCCCAUGUUUACAUAUCCCAUGGCAAAUCACGUCACGUGCCACAGGGUCUGAAGCUUUAAGAUGAGUGUCUUGUCCCUACUCAUGCAAGAAUUCCCCUUGCAAAAUGAAAAUCUCCAAAUCCUGUGCCUUUGACACGGGAUCAUCACGCUGUCCAUAGCAAUGUUGUUUGUUUGUUUGUUUUUAAGAAUAGUUUAGUAUAAAGCUGUGUGCUCCUUUUGUGUCCAUGUUAAGUUCUGGUUACAAGGACAGGGAGACAAUGAACAAGUGCCUGGCAGACUGAGCCAGGCACUGGGGUUCAGCCUUGCUGUGGAGACAUUAUGAAGAACACACCAAAAGCAAAGUGUGAUGUGAAAACUAACCCAGCCAAAUGUUCAAAUCUGGAAAUAGGCCAUUAAUUUAUCCAAAUUACUGUAAUUUUCAGCUUUUAGUUACUGUCAGCUUGCAUCUUCCCUUCCCUUCCUCAUAACACCUUGUUUUUGGAUUAAGGUCAACUGCUGCAUUCAUUUCUGGAGGAGGGGAGGAUUGAAAGCAGCAUUUCUCUAGUGAAUGGAUGGAAACCACAACUGGUAGCCUGGUUUUUGGAUAGACCCAAAUGCUAGGACAAGGUGGAGAAACCAGAAAUGGUCGUCACUGGGUAAUGAACCUCCCACAUCCCAAGAGCACCUGGGCAGCCUGGCUCAGUGCAAGUAUGCUUCAGAGAUGGUGGAACUCUCCCUUUUCCCAAAGAUCUCGUCAAGGCCAUGAGGAGGGGAGGUGAUAGCAUGAAGGUAUUGUGACUCUACAGGGAACAGGCACCUUGAAGUGAAGGAGGAUGUCAUGGGGCUGAAGAAGGAGCUGGAGUGUCUGAGUCCAAACUCCUCCAGUCAGACCACAGGGGACUUUCAGCAAGCCUCAGCAAGCCCCUUCUGAGCUGGCUAUCUCCACUUCUCCAUGCGGAGCAAUAAAACUGACCUCCUUGCUGCA
rnacentral:lncRNA from 1 species